UGCGGAUGGCUUGCAAGAAGCCGCCGAACACACAAGGCGUCAGGGAAAGUCUGGAUAGGUGGUAUCUAUUCAUAGCAGCUGCGAUUAGAACUUAUUCAAUUGCAGCUGCGCCCCCGCCCUGCCCUCCGGCUACCGCGUCGCUGCCUCCGGUCCGCCUCCACCGCCCACUCCCAUCGGGCAACGUCGAGCUCCCCCCUCCUAGUUCUGGCCCACCAACAAUCCUCCAACCGCCGCCGGCUGCUAACGUCUCCGCCGAUGAACAGGAGCGGGGGCGGCCUUCUGUGACGCGGUGCCUCCCACUCGCGCGUGCCAUGAAUAGAUUUGCCGUGUGGAGGCGCCCACCAUACAGCAAUCGAAAGCGUAGGGGUGAAUGUUGAUGCAUCAGCUGCCCAAGCAGCAGGCCUUAUUCAUGAUCUACCUUGCUGGCCUUAUGCAGAUGGCCGGGGGCCUAUUGGGAUUGUCAAUUGAAUUUGCUACGCGCCGUUACCAGAAAGUAUUGAUCGUCGUUGCAUUUGGCCUUGUCGGUGCAUCGUACGGGGCUCUCCUACUUCACUUGAGGAAUUGAGGUGCAAAUCCAGGAGCUAGCUCCCCGCGUCCAGAUGCCUGAUCCAGCAAUUGUACGGGCUGCACUUUUGUCACUGGACUUUCUCUUUCUACGGCCGUGUUUGGAUGGCCCAUGAAAUUUUUUCGGUGCUUUGACCACUAAUUAAAUGAUAUUAAAUAAAGUCUAAUUACAAACCACCUCCAUAACUAUGGUGCUAUAGCAGUAUUGCAGCUAAUGAGACCUUUGACUGUACGAUUAGGGGAUAAGUAUGCACGGUUACUGUAGCAUCACUGUAGACAAUCAUGAUGGAACUUGGCUGAUUAGAUUCGUCUUGAAAAAUUA